rnacentral:lncRNA from 1 species
UUUUUUUUUUUUUUUUUAACUGACUAAAAAAAAGUGAGUCAUAUUUGAUUGGGUGGAGGAAGUAAUUAAAGAAGGGAAGUUAGUUGUCUUUUUUUUUUUUUUGUUUAAUUUACUUUUGUUCUUUUAUGUGGUCCUGAUUUUAGGUCAAUUAUUUUUCUUUUUUUUGAGUAUAGUGACAAAAAAUCUUAUCUUCACGAUUAUGUAAAAAGUAUAUAUCAGAUUGAUAUUAAUCAAGACUUUGGGUAGAUAUUGAGAUGAGCUUGUCUAACACACACAGCUGUAACCCAAUAUAUAUAUAUUGUAAUUAUCAGUGAGGUGUCGUUAUCCACGUGUCAGUAUCUAUAUUUAAUUCGUCACUUUGUAUCUAUUGAACACUUCUACGACUUAAAAUUGAUACUUGUUUGACAUUUUUUUUUAUAAUCAGUCAAAAGUAUAAAACAUAUGUAAUACACUCGUGGUGACGCGACGAAUUAAAUGAUGACACGUGACAUUUGAGUAGAAAAUUUUGUCAGAAAAUAAAUUAUUAUGAAAAACUAUUUUUAACCUACUCCCUCUAUCCCUAAUUACUUGUCCAGUUUUCCUUUUAUAGUUAUUCCUAAUUACUCGUCCAUUUUGACAAAUCAAGAAAGAACAAAUUCUUUUUACCUAUUAUACCCUCAAUUAAAUCACUAAUUAUUUUGAAAAAUGUAGAACUUUUCAUCCACUUCAUAAUUAAUAGAAGUAAAAUGGUAAACUUACUAUGUCAUUAAUUAUUUUUUUAAUAGGUGUGUCAAUUCAAAAGUGAACAAGUAAUUAGGGACAACGGGAGUAUUUAACUAAUUUGUGAAAUGCCUAUUACUUGUUUGGUAAAGGGAUAAGGGUCUGAAAAAUACCCCAAUUUUGAUCGGAUUUGCUGUUGCGAUACUAAACUUUCAUAAGGAUCUAUUACCUCCCUAGUUGGGGUAUUUUUCAGACCCUUAUCCUUUGGUAAAAUGCCUGAAUAAACUGUUUGAUUUAAUUUUUGAAAUGCCUAUUACCUGUUUGUUAAAAUGUCUGAAUGAACUGUUUGAUUAAGUUGUGAAAGGCUUAUUUCAUGUUUACUUUCAUUAGUGAUUUUGUUGUCGAAAAAAUGCCUAAUUGAGUCGAUAGCUUGGUUUUACAGUUAUUUCCUGAUGAUUUUAUUCUUUUCCAUUCAGAUUGCAUAUAAUUCCUCUAAAAGAGAUGCAUAAUAACAUUAGGUACCAUUAAAAUCAUUAGUAACAUAAAGAAGAUAGUCUAGUAAAAAUGUCCUUCUCUGUUUCUUUCAUUUGUUUCAUCCUCUAUUAAGCUAGCGUUACUCGCAGGAAAAAGUUCUUUCAUCUGGCUAGGCCCCUACCCAAUCGUGUUGAUCACGAAUCCUGAACAUGUAAAGGAGAUUUUCACAAAGAAUUAUGUGUAUCUAAAGCAAACUCAUCCCAAUCCAUUCACCAAGUUAUUGGCUGAAGGUCUUGUAAGCCUUGAGGACGACAAAUGGGCCAAACACAGAAAAAUCAUCAAUCCUACCUUCCAUGUCGAGAAGUUAAAGGUUAAUACUUCUUUUUUUGUUUUUAUUGAAGUUAUCCGUUUAUAACAAGUACUGCUGGUUUUUUCAUUUGUUUUGUACAGCAUAUGCUGCCAGCAUUUUACGUGUGUUGUAGUGAAAUGAUAAGCAAAUGGGAGGAGAUUGUUCCAAAGGGAUCAUCAACCGAGAUCGAUGUAUGGCCAGACCUUCAAAUGAUGGCCAGCGAAGUCAUUUCUCGCACAGCAUUUGGGAGUAGCUAUGAAGAAGGAAGAAUAGUAUUUGAACUUCAGAAGGAACAAGCUGAGCAUGUAAUGGAAGUAGCACGUUCAAUUUAUAUACCUGGAUCUAGGUACAAUAAUUUAUUUAUCAUAUUUCGACGUUUACCUUUCUUUGUCGUUACAUAAGUACGAUACAACAGAAGCUGUACUCUGCCUUUCUGCUAAAAGACUGUUCUUGUUUGAUUUUGAAUUUGUUUGUAUAGGUUCUUGCCUACAAAAAGAAACAAAAGAAUGCUGGAAAUUGAAAAGGAAAUUCAAACAACAAUUAGGCGUAUCAUUGACAAAAGAUUGAGGGCAAUGGAAGGAGGGGAGACUAGUAAAGAUGACUUAUUAGGCAUAUUACUUGAAUCCAAUAUGAGAGAAAUUGAACAACACGGAAGCAAAGAUUUCGGUAUGACAACAAUUGAAGUGGUUGAAGAGUGCAAGUUAUUCUAUUUUGCUGGACAAGAGACCACUUCAGUGUUGCUCGUCUGGACAAUGAUUUUGUUGUGCCUACAUCCAGAGUGGCAAGUACAUGCCAGAGAGGAGGUGUUGCAGGUAUUUGGAAAUGAUAAACCAGAUUUGGAAGGACUGGGUCGCUUGAAAAUAGUAAGUACUGUUCACAAGUUCUUUUCGAUAGUAUGUUUUGUGUCCUCAAUAUAGUGAUAUCAUAGGAUCCCCGAAGUUGAUAAAAAGUGAACCAAGAGCCCAUUUUAUAAAUAGACAAUUACAUGUUUGGAUAGAAGUAUAAAAGUUGAUUGUUUGGUAAAGAAGUGUUCAUUAGUUUUCUGCCAAGAAAUACUUAUAAGUUUGUCAAAGCUUUUAGCAAACACCCCUAAUUCUUCUGCCAACUUAUGCAAUACUUUUUCACAGGUGACCAUGAUCUUGUAUGAGACGUUAAGGCUAUUCCCCCCAUUACCAACAUUUGGUAGAACGAAUAAACAAGAAGUGAAAUUGGGAGGGCUAAAUCUACCAGCUGGAGUGAUACUCAUAGUACCUACAAUCUUAGUACAUUAUGAUAAGGAAAUAUGGGGUGAAGACGCAAAGGAAUUCAAACCAGAAAGAUUUAGUGAAGGAGUGUCAAAAGCAACCAAAGGACAAUUCUCGUUUAAUCCCAUUUGGAGGGGGGCCUCGAAUUUGCAUUGCACAAAACUUUGCGAUGAUGGAAGCAAAAUGGCAAUAGCAAUGAUACUACAAAGGUUCUCCUUUGAACUCUCUCCAUCAUAUACACAUGCUCCAUUUGCAGUAGUGACUAUUCAUCCUCAGUAUGGUGCUCCUCUGCUUAUGCGCAAACUCUAAUAUGAUAUUUUACACCAUUGGUGUUGUAUGUUGACAUUAUCAAAAUUUAUUGGUCAACUAUUCAUAGGUCUUCUCUGAUGAGCCUCAUUUGGCCUCUUGGUGGAGCAGAAGUUUCUUCUUAAAGUUGUGUAGAACAUAUAUAUAUAUAUUUCUAUUGCACGUCUAUGUUCAUUUUGGUUUGUCCAUAUGUAAGAAUCAACCAAAAUAAACUACUGCUAUGUUUCUAAAGUGUUCUGUACUUUCUUAUUUUCUUUGGCCUGUAUAUACUUACCUCUUCAUUUGUGUCUUAACCUCUAUAUACCAUGAAACAUACUUGAUAGUUUGAGACAUAAAUAGACAUCUUAAUCUGGCGUCAGUUGAAAUUUAACACUCCCAAGUUUGACGAUGCAUAUCUAGAUACCAUCAAAAUUUAUGUGUCACGUUAGCGUCGAAUGUCCACUAGACACACAGGUAAUGAGUUGAGGUGUCUAGAUGUACAUUUUCAAAAUUAAAGUAUUUCAAGAUAGUUGUUUAUCUAUGUAGUAUGCCACGUUAAGUUCUUUUUAUUUUCUUUGGGCCAUAACCUUAUUAUUCAAUUUGGGUCUCUAAACUAGUACUAACAUAUUUUGAUGGAAUCAAGAGAGGUCACAAAUCACAAUCACACAACUACUUUUGUUUUGUUUUUAUAAGUAAACGAGCCAUUUAAACAAUAUAUUUAUCUUUUUAACUAAAUAGUAUAUAUUACGUAGAUGCCCUAUCUUUAGUUUAGUAUUUUCAGAUCAUUAGUACACAAGUUGUAUAUAAAAUAUAUUGAAAAAGGUUGAAAAAUAACAAAGAUAGGAUGGAAACUAGGACAAAUGAAAUAAUAAAAUAAAGACAUAAUUGGGAUAAUGUAAGGCAGGGUUUGUCCUAUUGGUUGGACAGGACCAGAGACAGGACAGAAUUAUGAAAAAAAAAUACUUACUAAACAGGCAUAACAGGAGGGGUAAAAAUUUUUCAUUAAUUUCUCAUCGACGUUCGAUAUUUAUAUUAGAGCUUCAAUUAAUAUACAUCCAUAUUGCAAUCUAUGUCAAACUUUGAGAUCUCAAAUUAAAGACAGAGAAUUCUUAUUUAUCCAUUAAAUUCUUGAUAACGAUGAAUGGGCUAAAACCUGAGCAGAUUAAGAUUUUAUUUGGACAUGAUUUAAAAUCAGAUUGAAUUGAAAUUUUGAUUUCAUUAGUUGUAUGUUUUUCUUAAUAGAAAAUCCCACAAAUUAUGAAAACUAUAUAUAUAAAAAAAAUAAAACAAAUCAAUUCUUAUGCAAUCUUAUAGAAUGAGCCAUGAAGAGCUUACUUUCAUUCUCUGUGUUCUCAGAGAAAUUUGCUUGAUUCUGCUCGUCCUUUUGCUUAGUCCAACAAUAUGUUUCAGUAUGACCAGACUUCUUGCAAUACUGGCACUGAAAGUCACUCUUGGGAUGUCGAGUGUCAAUUGAAUUGACUUCUGCCUCUACCGCGGCCUCGACCUCGGCCACGAAAUCUGCCUCUUUCUCUACCUCUACCUCUGUCAGACGACUCCUCUUUCACCUGGAAUGCUUUUUCUUCAAUUUUCUCAUGAGACUUGUUUAUCCCAUCUUCAUGAGUUAAUAAAGAACCCAUUAAUUCAUCAAAUGAAUAAUCAGAUAAAUCCUUGGAUUCUUCAAUAGCAGCAACCACAUGCUCAAAUUUUUUUGUUAAAGAUCUCAACACCUUUGGCACAACAAUUUCAUCACUAAUAUUCUCCCCAUAUGACUUCAUGAGAUUAACAAUGGAAGAAACUCUAGACAUAUAAUCUUGAACAGAUUCAUUACUUUUCAUAAGUAAAGUUUCAAAAUCACGACGCAAAGUUUGUAAUUUUACAGCAAUUACCUUCUUAUCUCCCAUAUACUCUUGUUGCAGAAUUUCCCAAGCUUCGUGAGAAGUCUCUGCUGCUGAAAUUUGCGGAAAGAUAUCAUCAUGAAGGGCUUGUUGAAUCAGGAACAGCAACUUCGAGUCUUUCUUGCGAUUCUCCCGUAGCCGUUGUGCGUGGCCUUCAUCCGGAUCUGCAAAUUCACUCUCCACCAAGUCCCACAACUCUUGAGACUUGAAGAGAGUCUUCAUCUUAAGACUCCAAAAAUGAUAAUUCAUCCCUUUGAAAAUUGGAAGAUGUUGGGAGUUACUGUUAGAGUUUGCUGCCAUUGUUUCUCUGGUUUGUUAUUUCUGGGGCAAAAUUUUUAUAUGUCGUUACUCUUAAAACUGGCUCUGAUACCAGAUUUGUUGGAUGAAAAAGGCAAAAAUAAAUGAAAGAGUUUGAGAGACAGAAGGUUUCUUUUACUGCAAAACUUUCUUGCUUAAAAACCAAAACUCCUAUUGCCCUUUUAUAGGCUUACAAUUAACUACUAAAGCUAAAAUAAAGCAACACACAAAUAAUGGAAAACAUGAAAAAGUGGUAAACAUGGUCCACUACAAUAAGAAUAUAAUUUCAUUGACUAAGUAAAACAUAAACCCACUAAUCCUAGAAAAUAGACCCACAGACUGAUUUCUGCAAACUAAUUAUUUUUGAAGGAUUAGUCAACAAAGGUUAUAUCCACCCAAGAACGCUUCGUUCAAAUUUCAAAAUACACCUUUUUCAACUCAAAAAUCCCGCCCAAAUGACAUCCUAGAGCUUGAACCUCUUCUAUAAAUAUUUCCUCUGUUUUUAGUCAUAGGGGGAUUUUUUUUUUGGGUGAGAAAAGUGGGCAGAUUUUUUGAGUUGAAAAUUUUCUAAACUAAGGCAUAUAGAAUAGCUUAAGCAAGUGGUUAUAAAAAUCCAUACAAAAUAUAUCCGAAAGAGGAGAAAAGAGUUAAUUUUCAGGGCUUCAUCUCUUCUAGUUUGUUCGUCGUUGCUCCCCUAAGUUUACUCGAGUUCGAGUUACCGCCUGGUUUUCUCGUUUGCUGUCCGUAAUUCGAUUUUGUGGUUGAAAGAUCGUUGCUCAGCUCAUUUGCCGUCCCCAUUUCGCUGCAUUAAAAAAGGUACCAGUUUUCUCGACUUUUCUCGUCCUUUCUAUUUCAAAAAAAGGGAUAUUUUUGGGAAGUUUGUAUUAUUACUGAUGGUCGCCGAGUUCUUAGUAUAUCUAAACACCUUAUUUAUGACGUUUUUUAGUUAUUCUAUUGUCUGCCAAUGAGUGUUGUUUUCAUUCCUGUUUGUUCUGCCAAUUAGCUAUUUUCCCCUCUUUUUUCUAUGUAACAAUAAACAGCUACAAAGAUAAUUUGAUGGAGAUUUUGUCCAACAUAAUUAUCAACAAUUAGUGUUUCAAUUUUGUUGGUAUAUACAUGGAGAGUGUUGAAUUGGGCAUGGUUUAGGCCAAAAAAAUUGGAGAAUAUCUUAAGGCAAAGAGGUCUAAAAGGAAAUCCAUAUAAGUUACUCUAUGGAGAUUUGAAUGAAUUCACAAAAAGUAUAGUUGAAGCAAAGUCUAAGCCUAUCAAUUUAUCUGAUGAUAUAGCUCAAAGACUCAUCCCUUUUUCCUCAACUCCAUCAACAAAAAUGGUAUAUGUUUCUUUUAUUGAUUCAGUUGGAAAGUAAACACUGCAACUUUGAGUAUGCACAUCUAAACACUUCAACUUGUCUCUAUUAUGUGAUGAUCAUUUAGACACGUGUAAUAUUUAUGUGUUACACUAGCGUUGGGUGUCUAUAAGACACAGUGGAGACGAAUUGAAGCGUUUAGUUGCUAGUUGAGACUAAGUUGAGGUGUCUAGAUUUGAACCUCAAAGUUGGAGUGCUUAUUUGUCAACUGAAAUCAAAUUUGAGUGUUUGUUUAUGUAUUAUGCCUUCUUCUUUUUUCUAAUCGGAAACAGAUUACUCGCAGGUAAAAGUUCUUUUGUGUGGCUAGGCCCAUAUCCAACAGUGUUGAUCACAGAUCCUGAACAUGUAAAAGAGAUUUUCACAAAGAAUUAUGUGUAUGUAAUGCAGCGUCAUGCCAAUCCAAUGACCAAGUUAUUGGCUGAUGGUCUAUCAAUCAUUGAUGGAGACAAAUGGGCCAAACACAGAAAAAUCAUCAAUCCCGUGUUCCAUGUUGAGAAGUUAAAGGUUCUACUUUAUUACUCCUUCCGUUAUAUUUUAUGUUGUGGUCUUAAGCUAAAGAUGUGUAUAAUAUAAUAUCAUUUGAAUCUUGUGGUCUAAACAUUCCAUGUAGGAUAUAUUAUAUAGAAAGAAACGUUCUUUGUUAAAGAAACUUAGAAGGGAAUUAUAACAAGCACUUGCUUGUUUUUACAUUUACAGCAUAUGCUGCCAGCAUUUUAUGUGAGUUGUAGUGAAAUGCUAAGCAAAUGGGAGGAAAUUGUUCCAAAGGGAACAUCAUUAGAACUCGAUGUAUGGCCAGACCUUCAAAUAAUGUCCAGUGAAGUCAUAUGUCGUACAUCAUUUGGGAGUAGCUAUGAAGAAGGAAGAACAGUAUUUGAACUUCAGAACGAACAAGCUGAGUAUGUAAUCAGAAUAGCAUGUUCAAUUCAUAUACCAGGAUCAAGGUACAACAAUUUAUGUACAUCACAUUUCCACGUUCGACACUUUCUUUUGUGCUUGCAAAAUCUCUCUGUAAUUAAAUAUGAAAAAUCUGAUCCUUAACAAUUUUUCUACUGAAAGACUUUUCUUGUAAUUUGAAUAACUUUGUUUAUAUAGGUUCUUGCCUACUAAAAUGAACAGAAGAAUGCUGAAAAUUGAAAAGGAAAUACAAACGACAAUUAGGCGUAUCAUUGACAAAAGAUUGAGAGCAAUCGAAGGAGGGGAGACUAGUAAAGAUGACUUAUUGGGCAUAUUACUUGAAUCCAAUAUGAAAGAAAUUGAACUUCAUGGUAGAAAAGAUUUUGGAAUGACUAUAUCAGACGUGGUAGACGAGUGCAAACUAUUCUAUUUUGCUGGACAAGAGACCACUUCAGUGUUACUCGUAUGGACAAUGAUUUUGCUCUGCUUACAUCCAGAGUGGCAAGUACGUGCCAGAGAGGAGGUGUUGCACGUCUUUGGAAAUAAUAAACCAGAUUUAGAAGGACUAAAUCGCUUGAAAAUUGUAAGUACUUUUC